rnacentral:ncRNA from 1 species
CUUGACCACUGGAAGUGCCUUUUAAUAAAGGCUGAGACCGAAGUAGCAACUGAGGGAUUCCUUGAACCUGAUCCAGCUUAUACUGGCGUAGGAAAGUGGCGUUAUAGACAA